GAAGAACUCCGAUUGCGAAGGCAGCUUACUGUAGCGCAACUGAACGCUGAUGCUCGAAAGCGUGGGUAUCGAACAGGAUUAGAUACCCCUGGUAGUCCACGCGGUAAACGAUGGAUGCUCGUUGUCGGCCUGUGUGGUCGGUGACCAAGCGAAAGCGUUAAGCAUCCCACCUGGGGAGUACGCCGGCAAACGGUGAAACUCAAAGGAAUUGACGGGGGCCCGCACAAGCGGAGGAACAUGUGGUUUAAUUCGAUGAUACGCGAGGAACCUUACCCGGGCUUGAACUGCGGCGGAACGAUUCCGAGAGGAUGAGGCCCUUCGGGGCUGCCGCGGAGGUGCUGCAUGGUUGUCGUCAGCUCGUGCCGUGAGGUGUCGGCUUAAGUGCCAUAACGAGCGCAACCCCCGUCUUCAGUUGCCAUCGGAUGAUGCCGGGCACUCUGGAGAUACUGCCACCGCAAGGUGUGAGGAAGGUGGGGAUGACGUCAAAUCAGCACGGCCCUUACGUCCGGGGCUACACACGUGUUACAAUGGCGCAUACAGAGAGUCGGUGGCAUGCGAGUGCCAUCCAAUCCUUAAAGUGCGUCUCAGUUCGGACUGGGGUCUGCAACCCGACCCCACGAAGCUGGAUUCGCUAGUAAUCGCGCACCAGCCAUGGCGCGGUGAAUACGUUCCCGAGCCUUGUACACACCGCCCGUCAAGCCAUGAAAGCCGGGGGCGCAUGAAGUCCGUGACCGCGAGGGUCGGCCUAGGGUGAAUCCGUUUUUGGGCUAAGUCGUAACAAGGUAGCCG
rnacentral:rRNA from 1 species